rnacentral:lncRNA from 1 species
GCCGAAACGCUGUGUCUCUUUUCUUUUCAGCCUGGAAUAAACCUCACCUGUUCGUUCAGUGUGAUGAGCUGCCCGGCCGGCCGGCCUCUAGCUCAUUGCCGUCGGCUUCCCCUGUCCCACACUUCCCACGUUCACUCUCCUCCGGGCUCUGAGCUCGGGGUGCCGAGGGGCCGUGGCGCUCCUAUCUGGCGGAGAAGAAAGGGCGACCUUCCUCUCAGAGGGUGAACUCGCCCGGAUAGGGAGCUCCACCGGCUCCCCAAGGACACCUUGACGAAUGCCAAGGCCGACAGACCUGUGGCUUAGACACACGGGUGCCUUCUGCUGUCUUUAGACCAGUUCGACCUCGACCUGUCCCGGAAACAGACCCACAGCAGCCAGGACCUCGGCUCUCGUCACCCACGGGCGUGCACGGACACGCGCGAAUCUUGCCGGCUAUUCCUUAUGCACGGAGAGGGGGGGUCGUGUGCGGUACCGAAUGGACAACUGCGGAUUAAUCUGUUCAUCUCACUGUCUUGUGCUGUCCUGACGUAUGAUGGUGCCGAUGGGAAGAGUCAGAGCGGAUUCAUUGCAGCCCGUUCCAGGCCUGAGGUGACCGAACGUUGGGAUGAAAAGCUCGCCUUCGGAAAGUCUCAGCACAUCACCUGCAUGCCAACAGAAACACCCUCUAUAAACAUGCAGUGAGCAAGGACAUAUCUGAGGAGCACACUCCA